ensembl:lncRNA
GUUAGCUCAUAUUAGCUAGCUGGCUAGUGUUUAGCACUAACACAUUUGAGUAUUUAUGAAUAUGACUUAAAAAAUCCUGUCAGGUUAGCUCAUAUUAGCUAGCUGGCUAGUGUUUAGUACUACAGAUUUUGAGUUUUCAUGAAUAUGAUGUAAAAAAAAUCCUGUCAGGUUAGCUCAUAUUAGCUAGCUGGCUAGUGUUAACAGUGAAGAUUGUGAGUUUUUAUGAUGAUGAGAAAAAUGAUCAGGGAGCUCUCUGACUCUUUUAAUUAAGAUUUCAAUCCCCUCAGAAAAUACUGACUUCAGGUUAAGUCAUACUACAUAUUUGUUAUAAUGAACGCUAAAUGUUUUUGUUUUUUUCUAUUCACGUCUGAAAGUGCACAUGAAAAUGACCAUUUUAAUCUACUCCUACAACAGGCUAUACCAUUUCUUUACUGAUGACACUGCCUCAAGCUUCCUAAUUACUUAGGCUAGCUAGCUAGCCACAAGAUUGCAAACAUAACCCUUCAAAUGUCAUUAUUGUGAAUCAUCCUCCCUGAAAUUAACCUGUGAUGAUGUCAGGAGAAUUGUGAAAGUUAGAAAAAAAUAGUAAGAGCAAAUAAAAGGAUGAGGGUGGAAAAAAAGAGAAAUUGUUUGUCUCCUCACGCUAACUCAGUAACUGAGUCACCCGCUUUGUAACACCAACAGUGCAGCAAGGCCAACCUUGAUCUGAAGAAAAAUAGGAGAAUGCUGAGGGGUUAAGAAGGAGUGUGAGACCCAGAAAGAGGAAGGGGGGAGAAAAAGAGGGAAAAGAAAGAAGGAGAGAGGCUCCUUGCUGUGUUUGCGUUCCCCCCCACUGUCUGUGAGCAAUGCUGGUGGGUCAAUAAAGAACGCAGGGGGGUGAUGGGAAAAAAAGUGGAGUUAAAAAUGAAGUCUGGCAGAGGGGCGGGGCCACUCCUGGCGCGAGCUUGCUUCUACUGCAGGUGCAUGCUGUAGCUGCUGCCAAAGUGCCAACCUGCCCUCCAUAUGGCCGUCGCCGGCCUGCCAGCCAUCUCCCGCCACUUCCCACUGAGCCCAGCGCUGGCGCUCUACAUCUAAAUCUGUCCCAGUGCCCCAGGCCUCCCCCUGUUCCGUGCCCAGGCUUCGUGAGCCCACGCCAGGCCGGCGGGUCAGUCCUGGACUGCAGUGCCAACCGGCCAACAGACCAUCCUCUCCAUAUGGAGACUCGUAGCAUCGCAACUCAUCGUUCUCUCUCUCGUAUCCUCAUGAGUGGCAUCCAUCAGCCAUGAUCUACUCAUCUGUCUCUCUGUAUCUCUCCCCUUUCAGGCCAGAUCAAACACACACAGAGAAACAGAUUAGCUGUGGCAUAACAGCGAUUCAAUUAAAAUCCCUGAACCCUACCAAUAUUACCAAAUUCUCGAAUUACAGAGGAACCGACUGCUUUCAGGCUAUCCGUAUGAAGCUUUGGGGAUUGGCGUAGGGGCAAAGAAUCGCCUUUUUAUUAUCUACCUGUCUCUCUUCUCUUUGCACACUGGAUACCUGUGUACACUUCAAUGUGUGGGAUAUAACUACUUUUAACACGUUAUUUCUAUUUCCAGUCUGCUUGCACCACAUUGCUGACAGUAGCACUUCCUGGUUGCCCAUAAAUCCACAUAAACAGACCUAAAGCACUACAUCGUCCAAGACGAUAAAACAACACAGGAAUGUCACGCUCCCUCUUCCCUAUGUACUUUAUAGCUCCUCCUUUCUUCCAAUAAACAGAUAUUGAUUGAGCAAUAAUCCUCUCAGUCUCUGUCACCGCGUUUCACGAGCGUAAGCUAUUAGCCCAAUCACAUCGAGCUGCUGUUCUCCUUAAGCCUAGCUCAGAAAGAGUGAUCAGUUUGGUGGGGCUUAAAUUCACAACACCACACCACCAGAGACAGAUGGAGAGAAAGAGGAAAGAGGAGAGCAAGGAGAACUAGAGGGAAGCUCUGACCUCAAAGACACAUCUUUCAACCAAUCCUUUAACUCAUGUUAGCCAGCUAGUUAGUGUCGAAUAUGGGUAUUCAUUAAUAUGACCUGUCAUGUUAAAUCCUAUUAGCCAGCUACCUAAUAUUAGCGGGUAAUACAGUUCUUAAACAUUAACAAAACAACUUCAGAGGGUAGCUCAUAUAAGCUAUCUG